rnacentral:rRNA from 1 species
UACGUAGGGUGCAAGCGUUGUCCGGAAUUAUUGGGCGUAAAGAGCUCGUAGGCGGUCUGUCGCGUCGAAUGUGAAAACCCGGGGCUCAACCCCGGGCCUGCAUUCGAUACGGGCAGACUAGAGUUCGGUAGGGGAGUCUGGAAUUCCUGGUGUAGCGGUGAAAUGCGCAGAUAUCAGGAGGAACACCGGUGGCGAAGGCGGGUCUCUGGGCCGAUACUGACGCUGAGGAGCGAAAGCAUGGGUAGCGAACAGG